UGGGGAAUAUUGGACAAUGGGGGGAACCCUGAUCCAGCCAUGCCGCGUGUGUGAAGAAGGCCUUAUGGUUGUAAAGCACUUUAAGCGAGGAGGAGGGUACUGGUAUUAAUACUACCAGGUACUGGACGUUACUCGCAGAAUAAGCACCUGCUAACUCUGUGCCAGCAGCCGCGGUAAUACAGAGGGUGCGAGCGUUAAUCGGAUUUACUGGGCGUAAAGCGUGCGUAGGCGGCUAAUUGAGUCGGAUGUGAAAUCCCCGAGCUUAACUUGGGGAUUGCAGUCGAUACUGGUUAGCUAGAGUAUGGGAGAGGAUGGUAGAAUUCCAGGUGUAGCGGUGAAAUGCGUAGAGAUCUGGAGGAAUACCGAUGGCGAAGGCAGCCAUCUGGCCUAACACUGACGCUGAGGUACGAAAGCAUGGGGAGCAAACAGG
rnacentral:rRNA from 1 species